ACCUUGUGCAAGGCAGUAAACUGUAAAACUUGCUAUCUUGAAGAAGGGAAUGUAGUCAGAUGAGGUAAAGCAAGGAGGGCUGUGAGGUGAACGUAUGUACAGAAUAAGAACCUCUGGAAAUGGUGGAAAAAACAGCCUCAAUUAAGGUACCUUUCUGACUAUUGGGUUUUGAAGAUUAGUUUUGCUUGAAUAAACCGUAGCUAGUAGAUUUGUUACAGAACAGACCUCUUUUCCUUCUUCGGUUUCUUUGUUUUCAUGAGGAACUUGAGUUUUCAAUGAAAUGGGAACUGUUGGUGACAUAAGAUAUGUCAUUGUGUUGAUGUUGUGGCCAUGGAAUGCGUUCUGGGGCACACGGGACAGGAGCUGGGUGUGCGAUAUAUGUAGGAAUAUGAUCUCCAGGCAUUAGAACUGAAACUCCACAGGAAUACACAGUCAUCUGCAUAAAAACAAAACAAAAAUGUUGGAUGGCUGAAGAUUGUAGAAAGAACAAAAUUUAUAUAUAUCAAUAGGAUUUAACCAGUGAUCAACUCUGCUAGCAGAUGAUACAAAAAGCUAAAGACUGAACAAGUUCAAGAGGAAAGAACAAGCUUCAACAUAUCAUAAGCCAACCAGUAGCAUAAAGAAACAGCACAAUAUAUCUGACAAACAUUACAAUAAAAUGAAAAAAGCUUAGAAACAUAAAAUCAGAUCCUCUAAUUGUUUCUGAAAUAAUCAACAAACACUUCUUUCAAACUGGGACACAUAAUACUUGUACUACAGGAGCAUGUUCUGCUAGGUCGUGACAUACAACAAACAUAAAAGUGUUCAAAAUGACAAAAUCAACAUCCUUCCAUUGCAAAACUUUCACAGGACAAGAAGAGAAAACGUGGUGUUAAUUAUAGGAUUAAGGGUCAGUGCAAUAAAUUUCAUGAGCUAUUGCUGCUUUUCCUCUCCAAAACAAAUGGAAAACUCCUCACAUUGUCAACGGGCAGGCAAUGAGUUUGUCACUUAGAAUCAGCCUUUGAGAAACCAGCAUGUCUUGAGAUCUUACAACAUCAUAGUGAGUGCAUCAUAGAAAUAACACUACCGCUUAACACUUGAAACAUGAAAUCUAUGGUGAAUAUUUUUUAUUUUCUUUUCUUACAUCAAUAGUGUUUAGUGUUUUUGUUGCUAAGAGAGAGUAUCCCAAUAGAAAAAUAAGAAAAAGAAAAACAAUGCACAAAUUUGUAUUGAGAUAUAACAAUCCUGGAGGUACUAAUCAACACAGAAGAUUAUACGGUUGUGUUGGAUAUUUAAUUUUAAUACUUCAACGUUGCCAAAAAAAAAAAAAAAAAGUUUAGCAGGAUGUUUCCAUUUCAUUACAAGGACUGGCAGAUUAAGACUAUCCAUAGAUUUUUGGUAUGUGAGAAUACUAGUUAGGGGCAUAUGAAUAAAAUUAGUAUGAUAUUAGUUACAGGUGUUGUGGGUAAUUAAUUAGUGGUGUCUUGAUUAUAAAUAAGAGAAGUUGAGCACCUUAGGAGAGUGAGGAUCAUUUUGGUGGGAAUUUCUCUUGUGAGAAUUAGGGAGAGAGAUAGCACUCUCGAACGACUAUAAUAUAGUAAUUUCUUCAUGUGUUUGCAAUAUAGUUAUAUUUAAUGUUUAAUGUUUUGUCUUUUCGGCAUUUGAAUGCCCAUCAAAGUAAAUGGAAAACUUUGUUAUACCAAGAGAUCUCAAGUUGCACCUACAAGGAUGCAAUCUACCAUCAAGUCCAUAUAUUGGUCAUUUUUUGGUGCAGCUAUACAAUUAUAGGCUGGCCCAUAAAGUUGAGAGGACCAAAAUUUUUGGCUUUUGAUAGGAACUACAAACUGGAAAUUAAACGAACUGUAUAGGAAACUGAAAAGAUACCAAGCACUUCAAGAGGCCUGGAUUCUCCCAAAAUCAAAAUUGGGAUCCAAAUACUGGCUCCCUCCUAAAUUCCCAAGCUCACUUUAUUUAUAGCCACUCAAUUCUUACAACUUGUAUGUAAUUACACACACGUCCUUGCUAAUAUCCUUAACAUAUACACUAGUAUUCCCAACAGCUUUAGCACAUACAAAUAUCAGCCAAUUAGACAGGACAACUGGCCAUGCCAGGUGCAGCCGAAGAUUAAAUAUGUCUCACAUGAUAAUAAUUAUGAAAUAUAUCUUAUCAACAAAGUUUGACCAUAAAUUCUUGACUGACUCGGUUUCAGCGAGCAGUUCUCCACUAAUAAUUUUGAUAUUUUUAAGAUGCAAGUUUUUCUUUUUUCUUUUUGAAAAAAAAAAUCAUCUUAAUGUCUAUUCUUUGUUUAUUCAAUUUGAAUGUAUGAGAAUACCAAUGACACAAGAAGGGAAAGUGACUACAUGGCCAUGACAGAAGUAAGGAGCAUGUGGGAUUAAGGCACUGAAAUUGACUUGAUGAGUAAAUUGGUGGGGCAAAAAACAUCAGAAGCACUUGACCGAAAGUGGCAAAACAAGAAGUGACCAUUAAACGAAAUACUACCAGAUCCAUGCCUAGUAUCCAUAAUUAGAGGAUAAAACCAUCCUGUGAUAAUGAGAUUGCUUAUUUUUGAAAUGGAAGAGAAUUCUAAAGAGUAAAUAACAAAUUAUAUGCCCGCUAGCCUGUUCCCUCACCCCCUUAUGAAGUUGAAGAUAGAUAAGGAUGAUAAAACUCAGUGCUCAUGAGCAAUACUGCAGAAUUCAGAAAGGAGACGAGAACUACCAGCUAAUCUUGAAGUUCCAAAACCAAUCGAAACAUAUGAAACUAAAAGGAUAAAACUACACGCUAUCCUUUAGAUUGCAAUUAGAACAAAAGUAAAAGAUAGAAACAUAACAUGUUGUUCGAAUACCAAGUCUCAGAACAUGGGUCAAACCGAAAAUAGUUGUAUUAACAUACUAGUGCGUUAGUAAUCACAAGAGACGAGGUCCGAAUACCCUGUCCCACAGAUACUAAAAAAAUCCUAGAACAUGGGUUGUUCCACUUAAACUAUUACAGGACUAGAAAUUUUCAUUUUCAAUUCAACACUUCGCGAACUUUGAUAAAAAAACAGAGAGAUGAAUGUCGAAGAAAGAACCUCCGUUUUAAACUAUGCGGAGCAGAGACGCAAAUGAACAAAUUCCAAAUAUUUAAACAGAUAGUUUAAAACAGAAAUUCAGCACAAUGAGCAAGAAGCAACACAAAAUAAGAUGAGACAAGAACAGAUAUCUAAACCCAAUUCAUUUCAGUUUUCCUCUCGAUAGUCCAACAGUCCAGAUAAGAAAACUCGGUUUAAAGCAGCAAAAACCAAAAAAUCAGAGAGGAAACAGAAACUGGUGAGAAACAAAUUGGGAGAACUCACUUUGGGUGAUGGGUGAGCAAGCUUUCCAGCAAACCCCAUCUGAGCCUCAGGGUCAAGGUGGGUCCGACCGCCGGCGUGAGAGAAAGCAGUGGGAGUAGGUCGCAAAAACCUUUCAAAGAUGGCCAUGAGCAAGAACAUUGAGACGAGAAUGGCAGUAGCAACAAACCCAAAAGAGACUGCAUCAACAGAGUUGUCGAAAUGCCUCCAGUGGUCCUCUUUCUGGACAUCUAGAGGAGCCCCAAUUGGGGACCAUCCAUAGCCUUCUUCACCCAUAUUAGCCGUACAGUUUCAGAGGAAAUUUCCCAUUUGGGUAUAGCUGGUUUUGUUACUCAUGGCAGCUUAAUUAGGAAGAAGAAGAAGUAGAGGGGAGAGUUUUCAGAAGAUGUUAGUUAAAGAUUUUCGCUGCUAUCGAAAACUUGAGCAGGUACCGAACUUGUAAUAUAGGCCCCAAACAGUGAGAGAGAGAAAGAGAGAGAGAGAGGAGAGAGAUUGAAGCUGUGGGCUACCAUUAACAUCCACAACAAAAUUCCAGAGAGUUUACUGGAGGGUGAAAAGGGGGCUUUGGAAUUUGGAUUGCUUUUCUUUGGGAAUUUGGAAUUGCAUUGUCGCUAUUGGAAAAAUGGUUGUUCUCUUUUAGUUUUUGCCCUGAAAAUUUUGUAAGUUUCAGAUUCCAUUUGACUUUUCCACCAUUUUUUAUUUUACAGUUUCACCAUUUGCAAAACCAAAGCUACAGUUGCAGUGUAGAGAGUAUCUACCUCCUCUUUGCCCAUACGGAGAAGAUGACUGAAGGAUAACAAUGCAAAAAAAGAGAAAAAAUAAGGUUACUUUCCAAAAACCCCAACAUUUGGGUUUUAAUCAUAUCAUAUUUGUCGGUCUCCCUUCUUUUGUAAAAUGGUUAACUUAUUAAACUACAAUUUUACUUCUUCAAAUUUCUAAAUCUACUACAAUAGUUUAGAAACUAAAUUGGAAAAUUAUAAAAAAUAGAACAACAAAAUAUUUACAUUUCAUUUGAUUACUUUUUAUUGUUUUUCUUAAUUUUUCAUUACGAUUUAACAUUUUAGAGAAAAUCAAAUCUCUAAGUUCAAUUUAAUUCAGUGAUAUUUUCAAAUCUUUUUUAAUUCGUUUUAAAAGGUAAUGGGUAUUAUUGAAAUGAAGCCGACUCUUUAUACACAUAUAUGUAAAAUAACAAUUUUUUAAGAUCAAUUAUUGAGAAGAAAAGAAAUGUGAAUAAAUGAUUAAAUGAAUGGUUCCUCCAAAGGACAACACAUUGGCUGUAAAAUGGGCCAACAUUUUGCCUUUUCCGGUCUCAUUGUUGCAUUAGCACCCACAGGGCCCAGCCCAACAACUCACCCCCACCCCCACCCCCCAGCCCUUCCUCCCAUUUUUACCCCUUCAUUUCUUUUCUAACAAAAACCAGAUCCGACCCACCUUGUUUUAUGACCCAAUCCAAUCCAAUCAAAACCGGACCCACAAACCCACAUGCCCCGAGCCGAAAGUCUCCCCCCUAUUUUCUUAACUCAUCCAAUCACAAUCCCCCACGUGGAUAAUCAUUUAAAUAAAAAAAUGAAAAUGAAAACAGUAGGGCCGCAAAAAAGACUUCACUGCCGGAGAUGUCAACUUCUGGUGCCCACUUUUCCGACCGAAGCUCAACAUGUGGAGCAUCCCAUUCCCUUCCCUUGAGAUUAUUGUUGAGUGAAAAAAAGAAAAAGAAAAGGAAAAAGAAAACGAAGAAGAAACCAAUGCUUCAGAUAUCUCACCCUGUGGUCAGGAAUGCAUCUUCACCAUUGAGAACAGUCAAAACACAAAAGCCACAAAGGUCAAACUUCCAUCAUGGGUUAAACCAUCCCGCGUGCGUGUGGAGUGUAAGCAUCGCACGUGUGAUUGCGUGUUGGAGUAGCUUCUAAUUUUCAUUUUCCUCCUUGGUCCCUCCUUGUCCUUUAAGGGCCAUGCACAUUUAUAAGGCCUCACAAAACUUGAGUGAGACAAUAAUGUAAUUUCAAGUUUAAAAAUACAAUACCUUUACUCAAUAAUAAUUGGAUAAUAUUACAUCCAAAAGAAAAAAAAAAGGUUUGUAUUAAAAUUUAUAACAUCUCAUCAUUACUAAAGCCAAACACACUCUUUUUAUCUUCUUAUCUUUUCCUUUCCCUUUUUAAUGCGAAACACAAAAUAGACAAGACUUUUAAUCAUAGAUAAAGUAAUACAUAUAUCUAAGUUUGCUCCCUUUUUCCUUUCAGUACCCAAAGGACGAGUUCCCACUUCUUUUGAGUAAUUAAUAUUAAAUUUAAUGUGUUAUCGUACAAUAUGAAAUUACUGUUGGAGGUCUGAUAGAGAUAGUGAAUAAAGGGAGAGAUGGAAAAUGAGGUGAAUAAUAAUGAUUGGAGGGUGUUUGGUUGAUGGGUGAACUUUUUUUCUUCUUCUUUUUGCAUUAAUAUAUUGUAUGGAUGCAGGGGGAGUGAGGGACAGUUAGGGUUUUAUAUUUCUAUGCUUUUGAUGAGAUCGGGGCCACACAACAGGGCUAGCUGUUACGGAAUUGGGCUCCCUAGAAGGAGCAGCCCUAUUAGCCUAUGGGCUCACUCCAUUUCACUUUGAGUGUACGAAAAGCCUUCCAUGGGCCCAUUCAAUCCCUUUUCCCUGCCCCACCUUGGAUAUGCUCCUUUUUAUAUCAAUAACUUCUAUAACUUUACUCAACUAAUUUAGGGUUUGGUUAAAAUACUAUUUUGGUUUAGUUUUAGUACGUG
rnacentral:lncRNA from 1 species